GCCGAGGUGGCGGAACCGGCAGACGCGCCACGUUCAGGGCGUGGUGGAUACUAGAUCCAUGAGGGUUCAAAUCCCUCCCUCGGCACCA
rnacentral:tRNA from 1 species